rnacentral:sRNA from 1 species
AAUUGCGAGUAAGAUGGAAGCUGAAAUGGAUUAAUAAGGAAGAAAGACAAGGUUGAAAGAGAGUAACCUUGAAUUUGAGCUCAACGGUGGCUGAGCUGGAGAAUGUGGCGGCGGAGAAUCCGAAUUUCUGGCCAGCGACAAGGUUGAAUCGACUUUGGGUUGCAAAUUGGAAGUGGAUUCGAUGGAAUUGGAAGUGGAUUCGACAGAUCUGAAACGUUUAGGCUGAAGACUGAAAUUUUGGUCUUCUCGAUUUUGUUAGAUUUUCUCGAAGCUGCAGAGGGAAGUGAAUAAUUUUGCCUAAGUGUUGGCGCUUAAGUGAAUAAUUUUGCCUAAGUGUUGGCGGAAUAAAGUAUUUUAGAUUGCUAGAGGAUUUUUGGUCUUAACAUUUAUAAGGUGCUAUUAAAAAGUAACCAAAAAAUUAAACUCAUCUUUUAUAGCAGUUCAGGAAAAUGAGCUAUCCUCUACUGUUAUCAAUGAUGACUUUUUUUGUAGUGUCUGUCAAUUAUAAACCGACAUUUUCCAAUAGACUCAUCAAAAAUACAACAAGAUCAUAUCUUUGAAAACCAUCUAGCGUACAUCAUAUAUUUUUGGCGAUGAUCUUGAUGCAGUAG